AAGGUUUAAAGAUUUAAUUAAAAAUUGCUAAUUUUUAAUAUGGGGUUAAAUUCCUUAAAUACCUUU
rnacentral:tRNA from 1 species